UGAGGAAUAUUGGGCAAUGCCCGCAAGGGUGACCCAGCAACGCCGCGUGGAGGAUGAAUGUCGUAAGAUUGUAAACUCCUGUUAGAGGGGAAGAAUAGUACCGGUUGGACCGGUAUAUGACUGUACCCUCAGAGAAAGCCCCGGCUAACUACGUGCAAGCAGCCGCGGUAAUACGUAGGGGGCAAGCGUUGUCCGGAUUUACUGGGUGUAAAGGGCGCGCAGGCGGGAUAAAAAGUCAGUGGUGAAAUCCUACAGCUUAACUGUAGAACUGCCUUUGAUACUUUUAGUCUUGAGUUCGGGAGAGAGAGACGGAAUUCCAGGUGUAGUGGUGAAAUACGUAGAUAUCUGGAAGAACACCAGUUGCGAAGGCGGUCUCUUGGUCCGACACUGACGCUGAGGCGCGAAAGCGUGGGGAGCAAACA
rnacentral:rRNA from 1 species